GGUGAGAUGGCUGAGUGGUCGAAAGCACCGGUCUUGAAAACCGGCAUGGGUUUGUAGCCCAUCUAGAGUUCAAAUCUCUAUCUCACCGCCA
rnacentral:tRNA from 5 species